rnacentral:rRNA from 1 species
AAAUAGAUCCUGAAACCGCAUGCUUACAAAAAGUAGGAGCCCGCAAGGGUGACUGCGUACCUUUUGUAUAAUGGGUCAGCGACUUACAUUCAGUGGCAAGGUUAACCGAGUAGGGAAGCCGUAGAGAAAUCGAGUCCGAGUAGGGCGUCAUAGUCGCUGGGUGUAGACCCGAAACCAAGUGAUCUAUCCAUGGCCAGGAUGAAGGUGCCGUAACAGGUACUGGAGGUCCGAACCGACUAAUGUUGCAAAAUUAGCGGAUGAGCUGUGGAUAGGGGUGAAAGGCUAAACAAACUUGGAAAUAGCUGGUUCUCUCCGAAAACUAUUUAGUAGUGCCUCAAGUAUUACCUGCGGGGGUAGAGCACUGUUUUGGCUAGGGGGUCAUGGCGACUUACCAAACCAAGGCAAACUCCGAAUACCGCAGAGUGCAGCUUGGGAGACAGAGCACCGGGUGCUAACGUCCGGGCUCAAGAGGGAAACAACCCAGACCGCCAGCUAAGGUCCCUAAAAUUGGCUAAGUGGGAAACGAAGUGGGAAGGCUAAAACAGUCAGGAUGUUGGCUUAGAAGCAGCCAUCAUUUAAAGAAAGCGUAAUAGCUCACUGAUCGAGUCGUCCUGCGCGGAAGAUGUAACGGGGCUAAGCCAGUUACCGAAGCUGCGGAUUUGCAAUUUAUUGCAAGUGGUAGGAGAGCGUUCUGUAAGCCUGUGAAGGUGUCUUGUAAAGGAUGCUGGAGGUAUCAGAAGUGCGAAUGCUGACAUGAGUAGCGUUAAAGGGGGUGAAAAGCCCCCUCGCCGUAAGCGCAAGGUUUUCUACGCAACGUUCAUCGGCGUAGAGUGAGUCGGCCCCUAAGGCGAGGCAGAGAUGCGUAGCUGAUGGGAAACAGGUCAAUAUUCCUGUACCGAUUACAAGUGCGAUGUGGGGACGGAGAAGGUUAGCUCAGCCAACUGUUGGAUAUGUUGGUUCAAGCCUGUAGUCGUGCCUGGUAGGCAAAUCCGCCGGGCUUAGAUGAGGGGUGAUAACGAGGGUGCUUGCACCCGAAGUGAGUGAUACCCUGCUUCCAGGAAAAGCCACUAAGCUUCAGCUUGUAACGACCGUACCGCAAACCGACACUGGUGCGCGAGAUGAGUAUUCUAAGGCGCUUGAGAGAACUCAGGAGAAGGAACUCGGCAAAUUGAUACCGUAACUUCGGGAGAAGGUAUGCCCCUAGUAGGUGAACUCGAACAGAGGGAGCCCAAUGGGGUUGCAAAAAACCGGUGGCUGCGACUGUUUAAUAAAAACACAGCACUCUGCAAACACGAAAGUGGACGUAUAGGGUGUGCCGCCUGCCCGGUGCUGGAAGAUUAAAUGAUGGGGUGCAAGCUCUUGACUGAAGUCCCAGUAAACGGCGGCCGUAACUAUAACGGUCCUAAGGUAGCGAAAUUCCUUGUCGGGUAAGUUCCGACCUGCACGAAUGGCGUAACGAUGGCCACACUGUCUCCUCCUGAGACUCAGCGAAGUUGAAAUGUUUGUGAUGAUGCAAUCUCCCCGCGGAAAGACGGAAAGACCCCAUGAACCUUUACUGUAGCUUUGUAUUGGACUUUGAACAGAUCUGUGUAGGAUAGGUGGGAGGCUUUGAAGCGUGGUCGCUAGACUGCGUGGAGCCAACGUUGAAAUACCACCCUGGUGUGUUUGAGGUUCUAACCUAAGUCCAUUAUCUGGAUCGGGGACAGUGCAUGGUAGGCAGUUUGACUGGGGCGGUCUCCUCCCAAAGUGUAACGGAGGAGUUCGAAGGUACGCUAGGUACGGUCGGACAUCGUGCUAAUAGUGCAAUGGCAUAAGCGUGCUUAACUGCGAGACUGACAAGUCGAGCAGAUACGAAAGUAGGACAUAGUGAUCCGGUGGUUCUGUAUGGAAGGGCCAUCGCUCAACGGAUAAAAGGUACUCUGGGGAUAACAGGCUGAUACCGCCCAAGAGUUCAUAUCGACGGCGGUGUUUGGCACCUCGAUGUCGGCUCAUCUCAUCCUGGGGCUGUAGCCGGUCCCAAGGGUAUGGCUGUUCGCCAUUUAAAGAGGUACGUGAGCUGGGUUUAAAACGUCGUGAGACAGUUUGGUCCCUAUCUUCCGUGGGCGCUG